GGUGGCCGUAAUAUUCAUUUUUAAUAAUUGUUACAGAUAAGAUACAAAAAUAACACAAAACGUCACAUCAGAUUUUGUUUUAGGUCACCAACAAUAAACUUUGUGUAUCUAUAGAGACCUCAUUGCGUUACGUCUUUCAACGACAGGACUGCUAUUUACAUCUCCCACAUGUUUAUCUAUAUAGACCUCAUUGCAUUACACCAUUCAACGACAAGACUGCCAUUUACAUCUCCCACGUGUGUUCUUUGAACAAAUAGCAUCACUUGAACAUCUGCGUCUGGGUCGCCGACAACGUAGUCGUCCUCUUCGUGUGUCAUCAUCCCACAGGUAAGGUAUCU
rnacentral:lncRNA from 1 species